rnacentral:rRNA from 1 species
AGAGUUUGAUCAUGGCUCAGAUUGAACGCUGGCGGCAGGCCUAAGACAUGCAAGUCGAGCGAGAAAGCCCUUCGGGGUGAGUACAGCGGCGGACGGGUGAGUAACGCGUAGGAAUCUACCUAGUAGUGGGGGACAACUCGUGGAAACGCGAGCUAAUACCGCAUACGCCCUACGGGGGAAAGCGGGGGAUCUUCGGACCUCGUGCUAUUAGAUGAGCCUGCGUAAGAUUAGCUAGUUGGUGGGGUAAUGGCCUACCAAGGCGACGAUCUUUAGCUGGUCUGAGAGGAUGAUCAGCCACACCGGGACUGAGACACGGCCCGGACUCCUACGGGAGGCAGCAGUCGGGAAUAUUGCGCAAUGGGCGAAAGCCUGACGCAGCCAUGCCGCGUGUGUGAAGAAGGCCCUAGGGUUGUAAAGCACUUUCAAUUGGGAGGAAAAGUUAAUGGUUAAUAGCCAUUAGCCCUGACGUUACCUUUAGAAGAAGCACCGGCUAACUCCGUGCCAGCAGCCGCGGUAAUACGGAGGGUGCAAGCGUUAAUCGGAAUUACUGGGCGUAAAGCGCGCGUAGGCGGUUUUUUAAGUCGGAUGUGAAAGCCCCGGGCUCAACCUGGGAAUUGCAUCCGAUACUGGAUGACUAGAAUGCGGGAGAGGGAGGUAGAAUUCCAUGUGUAGCAGUGAAAUGCGUAGAUAUAUGGAGGAAUACCAGUGGCGAAGGCGGCCUCCUGGCUCGACAUUGACGCUGAGGUGCGAAAGCGUGGGGAGCAAACGGGAUUAGAUACCCCGGUAGUCCACGCCGUAAACGAUGUCUACUAGCUGUAGGGGUACUUGAGACCUUUGUAGCGCAGCUAACGCAAUAAGUAGACCGCCUGGGGAGUACGGCCGCAAGGUUAAAACUCAAAUGAAUUGACGGGGGCCCG